AGACAGGCAGCAACUUGAGGUUUCACUCAAGGUUUUAUGAGGUUUACAGGGUUUUACGGGGUACCUCACGGUAAAGGUUUCCCUCAAGGUUUUAUGAGGUUUACAGGGUUUUACGGGGUACCUCAUGGUAAAACCUCGAGCUACCGU